ACGCUGGCGGCGUGCUUAACACAUGCAAGUCGAGCGCAUUUGAGGAGCUUGCUUUUCAAUGAGCGGCGCACGGGUGAGUAACACGUGGAUAAUCUACCCAUCAGCUCGGGAUAACAGUUGGAAACGGCUGCUAAUACCGAAUACGAUCCGAUAUAAAAAUUGGGUGAAAGGAGGCCUCUUUUUAUGCUUUCACUGAUGGAUGAGUCCGCGGCUCAUUAAGUAGUUGGCAGGGUAACGGCCUACCAAGCCGACGAUGAGUAGCCGACCUGAGAGGGUAAUCGGCCACACUGGGACUGGAACACGGCCCAGACUCCUACGGGAGGCAGCAGUGGGGAAUAUUGCGCAAUGGACGAAAGUCUGACGCAGCGACGCCGCGUGAGGGAUGAAGGCCUUCGGGUCGUAAACCUCUGUCAGGAGGAACAGAACGGCUAUCAGUCGCUAAUCAGCGAUAGAUUGACGGUACCUCCAAAGGAAGCACCGGCUAACUCCGUGCCCAGCAGCCGCGGUAAUAACGGAAGGUGCGAGCGUUAAUCGGAAUCACUUGGGACGGUAAAGCGGCGCCGUAGGCCGGCAAGGCGGCAUUGUAAGUCAGGGGUGAAAUCCCACGGCCCAC
rnacentral:rRNA from 1 species